rnacentral:rRNA from 1 species
CCUACGGGGGGCUGCAGUGAGGAAUAUUGGUCAAUGGGCGAGAGCCUGAACCAGCCAAGUAGCGUGAAGGAUGACUGCCCUAUGGGUUGUAAACUUCUUUUAUAAAGGAAUAAAGUCACGUAUGGAUACCCUUUUGUAUGUACUUUAUGAAUAAGGAUCGGCUAACUCCGUGCCAGCAGCCGCGGUAAUACGGAGGAUCCGAGCGUUAUCCGGAUUUAUUGGGUUUAAAGGGAGCGUAGGUGGAUUGUUAAGUCAGUUGUGAAAGUUUGCGGCUCAACCGUAAAAUUGCAGUUGAUACUGGAUAUCUUGAGUGCAGUUGAGGCAGGCGGAAUUCGUGGUGUAGCGGUGAAAUGCUUAGAUAUCACGAAGAACUCCGAUUGCGAAGGCAGCUUACUGGACUGUAACUGACGCUGAUGCUCGAAAGUGUGGGUAUCAAACAGGAUUAGAUACCCUAGUAGUC